rnacentral:lncRNA from 1 species
UUUCAACCAGGGGCUUGGGACCUCUUUAGCCUUUGGUUUUCUCAUUACUAAAAAUGGAGCACACUCCAGAGCUUGGGUCACAGGGCUGAGAGGGUCAAGUGAGGGCUUUAAGUGCUCAGUAAAGGCGGGCUGUUGGAAUUCUUCUUACGAUUAUCAGAAUGAAGACUUGCUGACUGCCCAGCUUCCGGAAGAGAGACCUAGCGUGGCAACAUUACUCACCUGUGAAUCGGAGGUUUCUCCUUUGACGGCAGGAACCCCGUCAUCACCAACUCGAAAGUCUCAGGCUAAGGGAGAGCAGGUCUGUCCUGCUGAGGAGGGGACCGAGCAUCGCAUAGAGCACCGAGCAUCGCAUCACGGGAUCUGGCUGGGCGUGAACAUCAGUUAUGAUAAGGAAGGUGGGUCGCUGACUUACAGGAGACGACCUGACACUGAAGUCCGGUGGCCCUCCCGGCAGGUGUCUUUCCACAGGGGUGUGACAGUGACCUUCAAGCUUCUGCUCUGUCCUUGUUUCCAGCAGCGGCUCCCAUAGGGCACGGCCUCCCCCUCAGGCUCCUCUCCACUCCCAGAAAGCUCCCUGUUGGGACUCCUGCCUCCUGAGAAAAGAACAGAGAUAUAAAAAGAAGGACCCAGUGCAUUUCCCCCGCUUCCAAUGUCUGAUUUCUUAAAUUAAUUUACAUGGCAAAUGGAAGAGCCGAUGACACAAAAGCUUCAAACCAGAAAGUCUUAAACACGUGAAAGGCAGCGGUGAUGAUGGUCAUUCCCUAGGCCAGCACCUCUGUCAGCUCGGACAAAUAAUCUAGAGACCUGACUGCCAUCUUUUUGGGUUAUAAUAAUUUUUUGUCAUUGAUGGUGUGAAUUUAGCAAUGAACACACUGUUGUAAAUAAACACGGGUAUUUCUGUUUCCCUCAAUGCUGGACUCUAGAGGAGUCUUUUUGCUUAGGC